rnacentral:rRNA from 1 species
UGACGUUAUCUAGAGAAUAAGUUCCGGCUAAUCUCGUGCCAGCAGCCGCGGUAAUACGAGAGGAACAAGCGUUAUUCGGUAUAACUGGGUUUAAAGAGCAUGAAGUCUGUUUGUUAAUUUUGUAUUCACAACACCAAGAUAUAACUUGGACGGAAUUCAAAACAACUAGCUUGAGUUAGGUAGAGGGAAAUAGUAUUCCUAAAGUAGGGCUGGAAUACUGAGAGAUUAGGAGGAGUACCGUAAGCGAAGGCAAUUUCCCAUCCCUAGACUGACGAUCAAAUGCGAAAGCAUAGGGAGCAAACAGGAUUAGAUACCCUGGUAGUCUAUGCUGUAAACUCUGAGUGCUAACCGUUGGUAUAUAAUUUCAGUGGUAAAGUGAAAACGUUAAGCACUCCACCUGGAAAGUACGAUCGCAAGAUUGAAACCUAAAGGAAUUGACGGGAGCUUAAACAAGCGGUGGAGCAUGUAGUUUAAUCCGACAAUACGCGUCAAAUCUUACCAGUUCUUGCAUACAAGGUUUAGUAGGUUUAGAGCCCAUAUUAAUACCUUGUACAGGUGUUGCAUGGCUGUCGUCAGCUCGUGUCGUGAGAUGUUAGGUUAAUUCCUAAAACGAGCGAAACCCUUAUCAUUAGUU